AAACCUGGGAAACCCGAAAGUUCGAAUGGAGAGAUUCACCGCGACUCGACUCGUCGGCGAGUGCGCGUACGGACGUCGCGUCGGCUUCGGUCGGCGUGCGCCGCACGCGUGCCGUUCGGACGUGCGAUCGCGUGCACUUCUCUCUUAGUAGGACGUCGCGACCCGUUGGGCGCCGGUCUACGAUCGACGGUGGAAGACCGCGAGGUCUGGCUUCAAGGGGUCAGUUCUGGCGAACCCGUCGCAUCCGACCGGCUCACUCGACGGUAGAAUAUAGAGGGCGCGGAGCCGCGACUAGUUCGCGUCCGUGACCGUCGCAAGCGUGCUCGGUAACUCGGUGUUCUCGGAGUCCUCGUGUCUCCGGUCCCGGGUCCGAGCUACUGUUAGCGACGAUGUUCUCGGACAGGCUCCGCCCGUCUGCGACGCUAUUGCUUUGGGUACUUUCAGGACCCGUCUUGAAACACGGACCAAGGAGUCUAGCAUGCACGCGAGUCUUAGGGACUCUGAGAUAAAGAACGAAACCUAAAGGCGUAAUGAAAGUAAAGGUCUACGGAUCUAGGGAAGACGGGUGCAUACAACCGCACUCCGCACUCCCGGGGCGACCCGAUCUCAUAGCGAGAUGAGGCGCACCCAGAGCGUACACGCU
rnacentral:rRNA from 1 species